rnacentral:lncRNA from 1 species
GUGGAUUGCAUUAUAGUUCAAAUUUAAUCUAUGUACAACUCUCGCAUCAAGGAAGUUUAUGGAAAUGCCUAUAGAAUGACCAUCUCUCUGGGUUCGACCCCAUAUAUCGCUAAAGUUGAUGGUCUGAGGAUCCUUAUAGGUUAGCCCUUCAAAGGUCCUUUUAGAUUAGCCUUCGCAUCUCGAUCAGUCAGGAUCCUCAUGGGCAUUGGCUUCGCUAAAAAAUGAGCACGGCCUUCGGAGAUCCUUAGAGGUU